rnacentral:lncRNA from 1 species
UUUUUUUUCACCUUUUGUCAUCUUGGUCUAUUGCCUUAAGGAUACGUGUGAACUGUGUCUCUAUAGCAGAAAUGGAAAGAUAUGCACAGAGACUGAAAGCUGUCUAGCUUGCAAGAAAACAUUUAUUAUUGGUACUGAUGUCUAAAGAAGAGGAUGGAUAAACAUUUUAGAGAAUUCAAGGAGAACCAUAUUUUGUACAGGU